rnacentral:rRNA from 1 species
UACAUGCAAGUCGAGCGGACAGAUGGGAGCUUGCUCCCUGAUGUUAGCGGCGGACGGGUGAGUAACACGUGGGUAACCUGCCUGUAAGACUGGGAUAACUCCGGGAAACCGGGGCUAAUACCGGAUGCUUGUUUGAACCGCAUGGUUCAAACAUAAAAGGUGGCUUCGGCUACCACUUACAGAUGGACCCGCGGCGCAUUAGCUAGUUGGUGAGGUAAUGGCUCACCAAGGCAACGAUGCGUAGCCGACCUGAGAGGGUGAUCGGCCACACUGGGACUGAGACACGGCCCAGACUCCUACGGGAGGCAGCAGUAGGGAAUCUUCCGCAAUGGACGAAAGUCUGACGGAGCAACGCCGCGUGAGUGAUGAAGGUUUUCGGAUCGUAAAGCUCUGUUGUUAGGGAAGAACAAGUACCGUUCGAAUAGGGCGGUACCUUGACGGUACCUAACCAGAAAGCCACGGCUAACUACGUGCCAGCAGCCGCGGUAAUACGUAGGUGGCAAGCGUUGUCCGGAAUUAUUGGGCGUAAAGGGCUCGCAGGCGGUUUCUUAAGUCUGAUGUGAAAGCCCCCGGCUCAACCGGGGAGGGUCAUUGGAAACUGGGGAACUUGAGUGCAGAAGAGGAGAGUGGAAUUCCACGUGUAGCGGUGAAAUGCGUAGAGAUGUGGAGGAACACCAGUGGCGAAGGCGACUCUCUGGUCUGUAACUGACGCUGAGGAGCGAAAGCGUGGGGAGCGAACAGGAUUAGAUACCCUGGUAGUCCACGCCGUAAACGAUGAGUGCUAAGUGUUUAGGGGGUUUCCGCCCCUUAGUGCUGCAGCUAACGCAUUUAAGCACUUCCGCCUGGGGAGUACGGUCGCAAGACUGAAACUAAAGGGAAUUGACGGGGGCCCGCACAAGCGGUGGAAGCAUGGUGGUUUUAAUUUCGAAGCAACGCGAAGAACCUUUACCCAGGGUCUUGACAUCCUCUGACAAUCCUAGAGAUAGGACGUUCCCCUUUCGGGGGGCAGAGUGAACAGGUGGUGCAUGGUUGUCGUCAGCCUCCGUGGUCG